rnacentral:rRNA from 1 species
UACGUAGGUGGCAAGCGUUGUCCGGAUUUACUGGGUGUAAAGGGCGUGUAGCCGGGUUGACAAGUCAGAUGUGAAAUCCUGCGGCUUAACCGCAGAACUGCAUUUGAAACUGUUGAUCUUGAGUACUGGAGAGGCAGACGGAAUUCCUAGUGUAGCGGUGAAAUGCGUAGAUAUUAGGAGGAACACCAGUGGCGAAGGCGGUCUGCUGGACAGUAACUGACGGUGAGGCGCGAAAGCGUGGGGAGCAAACAGG